UACGUAGGGAGCAAGCGUUGUCCGGAUUCACUGGGUGUAAAGGGUGCGCAGGCGGGAGAGUAAGUCAGAGGUGAAAUCUCACAGCUUAACUGUGAAACUGCCUUUGAUACUGCUUUUCUUGAGUUCGGGAGAGGUUGAUGGAAUUCCAGGUGUAGCGGUGGAAUGCGUAGAUAUCUGGAAGAACACCAGUGGCGAAGGCGGUCAACUGGCCCGUAACUGACGCUCAGGCACGAAAGCGUGGGUAGCGAACAGG
rnacentral:rRNA from 1 species